rnacentral:rRNA from 1 species
UUUCCGGUUGAUCCUGCCGGACCUGACUGCUAUCGGAUUGAUACUAAGCCAUGCGAGUCAUUGUAGUAAUACAAGGCAGACGGCUCAGUAACGCGUAGUCAACCUAACCUAUGGACGGGAAUAACCUCGGGAAACUGAGUAUAAUGCCCGAUAGAACAUUAUGCCUGGAAUGGUUUAUGUUCCAAAUGAUUUAUCGCCGUAGGAUGGGACUGCGGCCUAUCAGUUUGUUGGUGAGGUAAUGGCCCACCAAGACUAUUACAGGUACGGGCUCUGAGAGGAGUAGCCCGGAGAUGGGUACUGAGACACGGACCCAGGCCCUAUGGGGCGCAGCAGGCGAGAAAACUUUGCAAUGUGCGAAAGCACGACAAGGUUAAUCCGAGUGGUUUCUGCUAAAGGAACCUUUUGUCGGUCCUAGAAACACCGAUGAAUAAGGGGUGGGCAAGUUCUGGUGUCAGCCGCCGCGGUAAAACCAGCACCUCAAGUGGUCAGGAUGAUUAUUGGGCCUAAAGCAUCCGUAGCCGGCUUUGUUAGUUUUCGGUUAAAUCUGUACGCUCAACGUACAGGCUGCCGGGAAUACUGCAAAGCUAGGGAGUGGGAGAGGUAGACGGUACUCGGUAGGAAGGGGUAAAAUCCUUUGAUCUAUUGAUGACCACCUGUGGCGAAGGCGGUCUACCAGAACACGUCCGACGGUGAGGGAUGAAAGCUGGGGGAGCAAACCGGAUUAGAUACCCGGGUAGUCCCAGCUGUAAACUAUGCAAACUCAGUGAUGCAUUGGCUUGUGGCCAAUGCAGUGCUGCAGGGAAGCCGUUAAGUUUGCCGCCUGGGAAGUACGUACGCAAGUAUGAAACUUAAAGGAAUUGGCGGGGGAGCACCACAAGGGGUGAAGCCUGCGGUUCAAUUGGAGUCAACGCCGGGAAUCA